rnacentral:rRNA from 1 species
GAUUCUCACUAGUGAUUUCUGUUUGAUCCCGGCAGAGGCUACUGCUAUUGGGAUUCGAUUAAGCCAUGCGAGUUGAAUGAAUUUAGAUUCAUGGCGUACGGCUCAGUAACACGUGGAUAACUUACCCUUAGGACUGGGAUAACUCUGGGAAACUGGGGAUAAUACCGGAUAUUAGGCUAUGGCUGGAAUGCUUUGCCUUUGAAAUGUUUCUUGUAUUCGCCUAAGGAUAGAUCUGCGGCUGAUUAGGUCGUUGGUGGGGUAAUGGCCCACCAAGCCUAUGAUCGGUACGGGUUGUGAGAGCAAGAGCCCGGAGAUGGAACCUGAGACAAGGUUCCAGACCCUACGGGGUGCAGCAGGCGCGAAACCUCCGCAAUGUACGAAAGUGCGACGGGGGGAUCCCAAGUGUUAUUCUUAAUAGGAUAACUUUUCAUUAGUGUAAAAAGCUUUUAGAAUAAGAGCUGGGCAAGACCGGUGCCAGCCGCCGCGGNUACACCGGCAGCUCAAGUGGUAGCUGUUUUUAUUGGGCCUAAAGCGUUCGUAGCCGGGUUGAUAAGUCUUGGGUAAANGCUAUGGNCUUNACUGUAGAAUUGCUGAAGAUACUGUCA